AGUGAACGCUGGCGGUAGGCCUAACACAUGCAAGUCGAACGGCAGCACAGAGGAGCUUGCUCCUUGGGUGGCGAGUGGCGGACGGGUGAGGAAUACAUCGGAAUCUACUCUGUCGUGGGGGAUAACGUAGGGAAACUUACGCUAAUACCGCAUACGACCUACGGGUGAAAGCAGGGGACCUUCGGGCCUUGCGCGAUUGAAUGAGCCGAUGUCGGAUUAGCUAGUUGGCGGGGUAAAGGCCCACCAAGGCGACGAUCCGUAGCUGGUCUGAGAGGAUGAUCAGCCACACUGGAACUGAGACACGGUCCAGAUUCCUACGGGAGGCAGCAGUGGGGAAUAUUGGACAAUGGGCGCAAGCCUGAUCCAGCCAUACCGCGUGGGUGAAGAAGGCCUUCGGGUUGUAAAGUCCUUUUGUUGGGAAAGAAAUCCAUCUGGCUAAUACCCGGUUGGGAUGACGGUACCCAAAGAAUAAGCACCGGCUAACUUCGUGCCAGCCGCCGCCGUAA
rnacentral:rRNA from 1 species